CCUGUCUAACUGCAUCAAGGU
rnacentral:misc_RNA from 1 species